AGACGAUCCACCUGACCCGUCUUGAAACACGGACCAAGGAGUUUAACAUAUGCGCGAGUCAUUGGGCGUUACGAAACCCAAAGGCGAAGUGAAGGUAAAGGUUUGGCUUGUCCGAACUGAGGUGAGAUCCCGUUGGUUUGCCUAAUAACUUACCGAGCUGUGAACAGCGGGCGCAUCACCGGCCCGUCCCAUGGCGUAGACAUGUGACCUUGUGUUAUGUGCACCGUCGGGGCGGAGCAAGAGCGCAUAC
rnacentral:rRNA from 1 species